ACUCUAAGGAGACUGCCGGUGACAAACCGGAGGAAGGUGGGGAUGACGUCAAGUCAUCAUGGCCCUUACGGCCUGGGCUACACACGUGCUACAAUGGUCGGUACAAAGGGUUGCCAAGGCCGCGAGGUGGAGCUAACUCCCAUAAAACCGACUCGUAGUCCGGAUCGCAGUCUGCAACUCGACUGCGUGAAGUCGGAAUCGCUAGUAAUCGUGAAUCAGAAUGUCACGGUGAAUACGUUCCCGGGCCUU
rnacentral:rRNA from 1 species